CAGAGAGAUGCUUCUUGUUUGUGGACUGCUGGCUUUGCCUCUCGGCCUGGGAUUUUACUUUAUUUGGUGUUUAUGUUGUAUUUUGAUUGUUUUAUAGUAGUCAUUUAGUGUCUUGGUUGUUUUAUUAAUACAUUUCAUGGUUUGGGUGUUUUAAAAGGUGUUAGAGUUUUAAAGGUGUAACAAUAUUUACUUUUAAGUUUUCUAUGAAACCUUUUUCUUUUUUCUUUAUUAUAUUUUGCCCAUUUAUCUGAUUUCAAGUCCUAAUGUUGCUUUUAGACUGAUUUACAGACUGAUUUACAGACUGCAGUAUGUUGUUGUGCUGCAGUCAGUUUCACUUCCCCUCAAUGACCACAUGAUGGCGCUGGCUCCACACACCACUGCUGCAAAGCUCCUCUCUGUACUUCAUUAUUAAUCAGUUCCUCAUUUUACUGCAUGUGUUUAUACAUAUUUCUUUGUUUUAUUAGCCGGGAGGAGAAACUAACAUUUUUAUGUUGUAUGUGAUUAUAUCAGGACUGAAUAGAUAAUGAUGAUGAUGAUGGUUACCAUCAUAGUGGCAUCAGCUCCUCUCUGUGCUCAUAAAAACAUUGUUAUGUAAAGCCCAUAGUUCAGCUGCAGUGUGUCUCUGGAGUGAUGAAUGAAUUUUUACACAUCCUGCAGUGACGUCAUGUAAAUCUUGACUAUUACUGAGUCCUUUAAUUGUACCACAAAUAUCCCUUUUAGUUUUGUUUAUACCUAAAGAUUUGUUUUGGCAGUAUGUUUGGUUCACUGACUCUUUUAUAUGAUCACAAUGAUUUGAAGUC